UACGAAGGGGGCUAGCGUUGCUCGGAAUCACUGGGCGUAAAGGGUGCGUAGGCGGGUCUUUAAGUCAGGGGUGAAAUCCUGGAGCUCAACUCCAGAACUGCCUUUGAUACUGAGGAUCUUGAGUUCGGAAGAGGUGAGUGGAACUGCGAGUGUAGAGGUGAAAUUCGUAGAUAUUCGCAAGAACACCAGUGGCGAAGGCGGCUCACUGGCCCGAUACUGACGCUGAGGCACGAAAGCGUGGGGAGCAAACAGG
rnacentral:rRNA from 1 species